GUUAGAGAAUUUAGUUUCUUCUGAACAAGAGAGUAAAUGAAAUGAGAGGCUUUCGACUAUUGAUACAUGAUUUGCUGUUAAUGUAGUAAAAUUGAGGCAUCAGUGCUGAAUGUUUGAAUGUACAGAUAAAAAUUUGGCAACCAUGACUGAAAUCUAAUAGAACAUUUAUUUCGGCCGGGUGCGGUGGCUCACGCCUGUAAUUCCAGCACUUUGAGAGGCCGAGGUGGGUGGAUCACCUGAGGUUAGGAGUUUGAGACCAGCCUGACCAACAUGGAGAAAACCCCAUCUUUAUUAAAAUUAAAAAAAAAAUUAAAAUUUUAAAUUUCAUAGCAUUUGAGUGUUCUUUUCCAAUUAUUUUAUUGUGGUUAAAAUACAUAUAUAAAAUCUAUCAUCUUGAUCAUUUUGAGGUAUACAGUUGAGUGGUAUUAAAUACAUUGGUAUUGUUGUUGUGCAACCAUCACUGCCAUCCAUCUCCAGAACUCUUUUCAUCUGAAACUCUUUACCUAUUAAACAAUAGCUUUCCUUUCCUCCCCUCCCCUUAGCCCUGGCAGCCACCAUUCUACUUCCACUGUCUAUGAUUUUAACUAUUCCAUGUACCUCAUAUCAUUGGAAUCAUACAGUCUAUGCCUUCUUGUGACUGGCUUAUUUCACAAAACGUAUUGUCAUCAAGGUUCUUCCAUGCUGUCGUUGAUGUCAGAAUUUCCUUUCUUUUUAAGUCUAAAUAAUACAGUAGUAUAAAUUUUUAAAGAAAAAUAGUAAUCUUUUGCUCACUUCACUACCCACCCCUCAAUGUCACCGUCAAGAAGCAACAACCUUAAUUAUUUUAGCUGUUUCUUCUGAUUUUACUUCCAUAUUUAUGUGGUAUAGCAUACUAUAUUUUGCUUAUCCAUUGAUGGACACUUAGGUUGCUUCCACGUUUUAGCUAUUGUGAAUAAUGCUGCUGUGGUCACGAGUAUACAGGUAUCUCUUUGAGACCCCGCUUUUCAAUUCUUCUGGCUGUGUACUCACAAAUGAAAUUGCUGGAUCACAUAGUCAUUCUAUUUUUAAUAUUUUGAGGCUUCACUGUACUGUUUUCCACGGCAGCUCCGCCAUUUUACAUUCCCAUUAACAGUGCACAAGGGUUCCAAUUUCUCCACAUCCUUAUCAACACUUUUAUUUUCCUUUUUUUUUUUUUUCCCUAAUAGUGGCCAUUCUAAUAGGUGUCAGGUGGUAUCUUAUUGUAGCUUUGAUUUUCAUUUCUGUAGUGAUGGUGAUGUUGUACAUUUUCAUAUGCUUUUUGGCCAUUUGUGUAUCUUUCAAGACAUAUAUAGCCAAGUCUCUUGCCCACUUUUGAAUAGGCUUGUUUUAUUGUUGUUGAGUUUUAGUUCUCUGUAUAUUUUGGAUAUAAUCCCUUAUUAGAUACAUGAUUUUGCAAAGAUUUUCUCCCAUUCUGUGGAUUGGCCUUUUUACUCUUGAUUGUGUCUUUUGAUGUACGUACAACUUAAACAUUUUUCAUGAAAGUCCAAUUUGUCUAUUUUUUUGUUAUUGUUGCCUAUGCCUUUGGUGUCAUGUCCAAGAAGUCAUUGCUAAACUUCAUGCUGUGAAGGGUUUGCCCUUUGUUUUCUUUGAAGAGUUUAUAGUUUUAGGUCUUACAUUUAAGCCUGAUCAAUUUUGAGUUAAUUUUUUUAUAUGGUAUUAGGUGAGUGUCCAACUUUGUUUUGUUUGUGGAUAUCCGUUUUUUCCCCACCAUUUGUUGAAGACUGUCAUUUCACUCAUUGAAGGAUCUUAGCACCCUUGUCAAAAAUCAUUUGACCAUGUAUGUGAGGUUUUAUUUUCAGGUUCUCUGUUCCAACCAUGGACUGGCACCUGUCCACAGCCUGUUAGAAACCGGGCUACACAGCAGGAGGUGAGCAGCUGGCGAGCAAGCAUUACAGCCGGAGCUCCACCUUCUCUCAGAUCAGCAGUAGCAUUAGAUUCUUAUAGAAGCAGGAACCCUGUUGUGAACUGUGCAUGUAAGGGAUCUAGGUUGCAUGAUCUUUAUGAGAAUCUAAUGGCUGAUCUGAGGUGGAGCAGUUUCAUCUGUAAACCAUUCCCCUGGACUAUGGAGAAAUUGUCUUCCAUGAAACUGGUCCUGGUGCCAAAAAGGUGGUGGACCAUUGAUUUAUUCCAUUGGUCUGGAUGUCUGUCUCUAUGCCAGUACCACAGUUUUGAUUACUGUAGCUAUGUAAUAUGUCUUGUAAUCAGAAACAGUGAAUUCUCUAGCUCUUAACUAUUUUGCAGGAUUAUUUUGGCUCUUCAAUCUUGAGAUUCCAUGUGAAUUUUAGAAUGAAUUUUUCUAUUUCUGGAAAACAAAUAGGGAUUUUGAGAGGAAUUGCAGUGAAUCUGUAAAUUGCUUUGGGUGGUAUUGAUAUCUUAGUAAUAUUAAGUCUUCCUUUUCCCACAUAGGCUCAUGGAGAAAAAAAUUUAAGUCUUCCAGUGCAUGAAUGUGAGCUGUGUUUCUAUUUAUUUAUGCGUUCUUUAAUAUCUUGAGUAAGAUUUUAUGUGUUCUUUAUGUCUUUCAGCAAUGUUUUGUAGUUUUUAUUGUACAGGUCUUUCACUUGAUUAAUUUGGGAAUAUUUUUUCUUUUUGAUGCUAUUAUAGAUGGAACUGUUGGCAUAAUUUCCUUUUCAUCUUCUUAUUAGUUUAUAAAAAUGCAAUUGAUUUUUAUAUGUUGACUUUGUAUUCUGCUAUUUUACUGAAUUCAAUUAUUCUAACAGUUUUUUGUGUGUGGAAUCUUUAAGGUCUACUGUAUACAAGAGCCUUCCAUCUGUGAGCAGAGAUCAUUUUAUUUGUUUCUUUUCUAUUUGUAUGCCUUUUAUUUCUUUUUUUGUACUUACUUGCUCUGGCUGGAACUUAAGCAUUCUUAUGAUGUAAAAACUCAGAUUGCUUCUGUGUGAAUGGGAACAGACACAAAUCUUAAUUAUUGAUCCUGAUUUUGUGUUUUGAUACUUUCCAUACUUUCAUAAAGGGACUUAUUUUCUAUUUAAUGUAACUUUUAAACUGCUUUUCUAAGAAAUAAACCUUUUAUGUUUAUUUUAUUUCUAAAGUGGCACAGGGAGUUUGAUACAUAUUUUUUAAGCUUUUUAUUUAAUGCCCAUCAAUUGCUUACAAAAUUUGAGAAAUUUUAUGGUAUUAAAAAUUGAUACAUGUGACUAACAAAUUUUUGCUAACUUUGCUGUGUUAUUAUAAUUCUUACUGCCUAAUGAAGUUAUUUACUGAGAUAUUUGAAUUUCUUUAUAAAAUAAAUUGGGAGAUAGCAUUUCAUAGUUAAUCUGUAAGAUUGCUUUUCUUUCUGUCUUGGGAAACUCCUCUUUAUUUUCAGUCAUGUGAAAACUUACACAUAUCCAUGCUUUUUUUCUGUCUUGAAGAAUUGUACUGCAGUCUGUCUUGGUUAAGUCAGAAGGUUGUGAGGGGUAGAGCUAGUUAGUGGGGCUUUAGUAUGGCCUGACUAGUGGCUGGCAAGGUGGCUAUUUUUUUUUUCUUCAAUUUUUUGCUUUAUUUAUGUUCUAGCAAAACCGGUGAACCAAGCAAGUGGAGUAUUGCAUUUUAUCUCUUUAUAAUAUUCACUUUGAAAUAAGGAUUGAGUUUUUGUUCAUGUUUUAUUUUAUUUUUUACAAAGUCAUAUGAGUAGAAUUAUUGGAUCAAGUAGUAAGAACGUUUCAGACUCUUGAUAAUAUAUUGCCCAAUUAUUUUAGUGCCAGUUUAAAUUUCACAAGCAAAAUGAGAGAAUGCCUGUUGUAUCUCGUUACUUUUUGCCUUUAUUCGGUGCUAUUAAAAACAAACCUUGGGGAUUUUUAGAAGAAAACUUGUAUCUUGCUUAAAUUUUUAUUUUUAAAAUUAGUAACAGGACCAAGUAUUUUAAAUGCUUAUUAUGCAGUCGUCUUUUAUGGUUUUACUUUGAUCUUUAGCCUUUCUUUUAAACAGUUGAUUUAUCUAGUUAAAAUAUUUCCCUAAUUUGUUUCCUAACUUCGCCUUUGUCACAGCAUUUGGACAGUAUCACGCACAGUGUCAUGGCUCAUUUAUAUGUUUCUGUCUCAGCAUGUUUUUUUCCUUAUUUAUGUUGAAAGGCUAGCAAACUUAUUACUUUCUAUAUCUUCUGGGAAAGAUUCAGACUAGCGAUAUGCUUAGGUAGCCCUGCUUCAUGAGACCCCUCUGGAAUAUGGCUAAGUACAGGAGAGAGAGGAUAAGAAGGUCUGUAGGGUAGUGGUUAUAGCGGAAUGUGUUUUAGAGACAUGGACGGAAGACUGGGGACUAACUGAAGAUGUUGCGGUAGGCCUUUGCUCAGUGGCACUCCAAGAAGGAGACAUGGGAGAGGCCUUGUCCUUUUCACUUUCCUUACUUUCCUUCUUUGUUCACAAA